GCAGAUGUAGUUUAAUGGUAGAACUUUAGCUUUCCAAGCUAAUAACGUGGGUUCGAUUCCCAUCAUCUGCUCCA
rnacentral:tRNA from 1 species